rnacentral:misc_RNA from 1 species
UAAAAGGAUCAGCAUGUCGGUUGACAGCAGCAUAGUUCUGCAGUUCCGACUUCAAGUGCUCAAUCUUUCUCCCAGCCAAUGAAUUGCUAAAGAUUCGUUGAAGCUUUUCAACGUUGAUUUACAGUUUGUUGUCCUGUGGAUCCAGAAAGAAACAUCUUGUGAACCGUUCCGUCUCUGGCGAGAGGGUAGUGAAGAACUACUUGUCAGCAUUGCUUUUUGCGGUGCCGUGGACAGCUCGCCAACCCCUUCUAAACAUAUAUUUAUUUUUUAUGCCUGACAUUUAUUGUAUAAAUAUACAAAA